rnacentral:rRNA from 1 species
AAGUCGUAACAAGGUUUCCGUAGGUGAACCUGCGGAAGGAUCAUUGUCGAAUCCUGCACAGCAGAACGACCCGCGAACCGUUGAAUUGUGCCCUUUCGAACGAGUGUCGGGCGACCCAUGUGGCCCCGACGCCUCGUUCAGAACUAAAAACCCCGGCGCGGCUUGCGCCAAGGAAAUUCGGAACGGAAAGUACGGGUCAGGGCGAGCUCAUCGUCCUGAUUGCGUCGAUUUUCCAAUAAGUCUUGAACGACUCUCGGCAACGGAUAUCUCGGCUCUCGCAUCGAUGAAGAACGUAGCGAAAUGCGAUACUUGGUGUGAAUUGCAGAAUCCCGUGAACCAUCGAGUUUUUGAACGCAAGUUGCGCCCGAGGCCACCCGGUCGAGGGCACGUCUGCCUGGGCGUCACACAAACGCCACUCCCAUCCCUCGCAGGAGUGCGGAUGAGAGCGAACGCUGGCCCCCCGCGACCCAGUUCGCGGUCGGCUGAAAUAGCUCGCCCUCUCGUGGCUUCACGACACGAUCAAUGGUGGUUGACGAUAACCCUUCGCCGCGAUCGAACGACGUGAUCGGAAGCACGGGGCGAACGAACCCUUUACCACAUGCGACCUCAGGUCAGGCGGGGCCACCCGCUGAGUUUAA